AUGCGGGAUUCCCCGGCUGACGCGCCUGAUACGAGGCAGAUCUUGCCGGAUCCCAUGCCCAUCUCAGGUCUGGAGCCCUGCGGCACGACAAUCCAGGGGGAUUCGGCGGCUGGAUCUUCUGUGGCCGGUUCCGGUGAUAUAGAAACUACAACAGCCGCCACACAUGUGUCACUUGAAAAUCCUCAGCGCCAUACCAGGUCAAAAUCUGGAGUAUUCAAGCCUAAAGAAUACAAGGACGGUACAAUAAGGUAUGAUCCUCGCAAGUAUGCGUUUCUUACUAGUUCAGGUGAACCUAUUCAUUUAGUCGAAGCUCUUGCUCACAAAGAAUGGAAAGGGGCUAUGGACAAUGAAUAUCAAGCACUCAUGAAAAAUAAAAUAUGGCAUCUUGUACAUCCAACAAAGGGAAAGAAUUUAAUUGAUUGCAAGUGGGUUUAUAAAAUCAAAAGAAAAUUUGAUGGAAGUAUAGAUAGAUACAAGGCUAGAUUGGUUGCAAAAGGGUUUAAACAAAGAUUUGGAAUUGAUUAUGAGGAUACUUUUAGCCCUGUUGUCAAGGCAGCUACUAUUCGACUUGUAUUAUCUAUUGCUAUUUCCAGAGGGUGGAGUUUACGUCAGCUAGACGUCCAGAAAGCGUUUCUCCAUGGUGUUCUUGAGGAAGAAGUGUUCAUGCGGCAACCACCAGGGUAUGAAAACAAAAGCACACCUCAUUUUGUCUGUAAGUUGGACAAAGCUUUGUAUGGCUUAAAACAGGCCCCAAGAGCCUGGUACUCCAGGUUGAGCACUCAGUUACAACAACUUGGUUUUAUUCCAAGCAAGGCAGAUACCUCAUUAUUCUUCUAUCACAAAGGCAACAUCUCUAUGUUUGUUCUUGUUUAUGUUGAUGAUAUAAUUGUUGCUAGUUCCAGUUCAGAGGCCACUACCUAUCUGCUCCGUGAUAUUAAUGUGGAGUUUGCACUCAAAGAUUUGGGUGAUCUUCAUUAUUUUCUUGGUAUAGAGGUAAAACAGAUCAAGGAUGGAAUACUUCUUACACAAGAGAAAUACACCACAGAUAUUCUAAAGAGGGUAGGACUGGAACAUUGCAAACCAGUAAGUACACCACUUUUCACUUCUGAGAAACUUACAGUUGAAGGAGGUGAAUUACUUGGACCGAGUGAUGCAACAAACUAUAGGAGUGUUGUUGGUGCUCUACAAUAUUUAACGUUGACUAGGCUUGAUUUUUGUUAUUCUAUCAACAAAGUGUGUCAGUUUUUGCAUGCACCAAGUACAGUUCAUUGGACUGCAGUAAAGAGAAUUCUUAGGUAUCUAAAGUUUACAAUGGGACUUGGAAUCAAGAUUGUUAAAUCGCCAUCCAUGCUAGUUAGUGCAUAUAUAGAUGCUGACUGGGCAGGGUGUCCUGAUGAUAGAAGGUCAACAGGUGGUUUUGCUGUAUUUCUGGGAUCAAACCUUGUGUCAUGGAGUGCAAGGAAACAAGCUACUGUGUCAAGGUCAAGUACUGAAGCAGAAUACAAAGCCCUUGCCAAUGCAACUGCCGAAGUUAUGUGGAUUCGGACUCUUUUGUAUGAGUUGGGAAUCAAGACUCCACAAGCUGCAAGGUUAUGGUGUGACAAUAUUGGUGCAACUUACCUUUCAACAAAUCCUGUGUUCCAUGCACGUACAAAACACAUAGAGGUUGAUUUUCAUUUUAUGAGAGAAAGAGUAGCACGAAAGCUACUUGACAUCAAGUUUAUCCCCACAGGAGAUCAACUUGCUGAUGGCUUCACCAAACCACUUACUACGAGGAGAUUGAAUGAGUUCAAGUACAAUCUAAACCUAGAGAAAUUUUCAUAG
rnacentral:rRNA from 1 species